rnacentral:lncRNA from 1 species
GGGGAUAUCCACUUAAUUUUGGGGUCAAAUUCGUCAUUUUUGGGGGGAUCCCUUUAAUUUUGGGGUCAAAUUGCUCAUUUUUGGGGAGGAUACCUUUAAUCUUUGGGUCAAAUUGUUCAUUUUGAGGGGUAUCCCUUUAAUUUUGGGGUCAGGUCACUCAGUUUUAGGGGGAUUGGGGGGAUCCCUUUAAUUUUGGGGUCAAAUUGUUCAUUUUAGGGGGGAAUCCCUUUAAUUUUGGGGUCAAAUUGUUCAUUUUUGGGGGGGUAUCCCUUUAAUUUUGGGGCCAACUUGCUCAUUUUUAGGGGGGAUAUCCCUUUAAUUUUGGGGUCAAAUUGCUCAUUUCUAGGGGGGGAUCCCUUUAAUUUUGGGGUCAAAUUGUUCAUUUCUGGGGGGUUAUCCCUUUAAUUUGGGGGCCAACUUGCUCAUUUUUAGUUGGGGAUCCCCUUAAUUUUGAGGUCAAAUCGCUCAUUUUGGGGAGGGAUCCCUUUAAUUUUGGGGUCAGAUCACUCAGUUUUGGGGGGGUAUCCCUUUAAUUUUGGAGUCAAAUUGUUCAUUUUAGGGGGGGUAUCGCUUUAAUAUUGAGGUCAAAUCACUCAGUUUUGGGGGGGGCGAGGGGGAAUCCCUUUAAUUUGGGGAUCCAGUCGCUCGUUUUAGGCCUGGCCAUGCGGCUACCCUGCCUCGUGGGGGGGGUGGUGACAUCCUACCCCCCCCUUUGCUGAGCAAUGGUAGCGCCCUCCCAUAGGAUAGCAUUGAGGCGGACCGCUCCACUGCGUGGCCGGAGGGGGGGGGUAAAGGUGUACCAACCCCCCCCAUGUUGAGCAAUGGUAGUGCCCUCCCAUAGGAUAGCAUUGAGCCGGACCGCUCCACCGCGUGGCCGGGCGGGGGGGGGGGGGCAAAGGUGUACCAACCCCCCCAUGUUGAGCAAUGGUAGCGCCCUCCCAUAGGAUAGCAUAGAGCCGGACCGCUCCACUGCGUGGCCGGAGGGGGUAUAAAGGUGAACCAACCCCCCCCCCCCAAGUUGAGCAAUGGUAGCGCCCUCCCAUAGGAUACCAUUGGGCCCGACCGCUCCACUGCGUCGCCGAAGGGGGUGUAAAGGAGAACCAACCCCCCCCCCCUUUGCUGAGCAAUGGUAGCGCCCUCCCAUAGGAUAGCAUUGGGCCGGACUGCUCCACCGCGUGGCCGGGGGAGGGGUGUAAGUGUGA